CUCACGCAUGUAAUCCUAGCACUUUGGGAGGCCGAGGUGUGUGGAUCACUUGAGGUCGGGAGUUCAAGACAAGCCUGGCCAACAUGGUGAAACCCCAUCUCUACUAAAAAUGCAAAAAUUAGCCAGUCAUGGUGGUGGGUGCCUAUAAUCCUAGCUACUCAGGAGGCUGAGGCUGGAGACUCACUUGAACCCAGGAGGAAGAGGUUGCAGUGAGCCAAGAUUGUGCCACUGCAUUCCAGCCUGGUAGACAAGAGAAUAACUCCAUCUCAAAAAAAAAAAAAAAGAAAAAAGAAAAAAAUGACCUGGCCUCCUUGGUGUUGUGAUUGUUGCCGGGUGUGAGGUUGGCAUGGCUGAGCCAAAUAUUACCAUAUUUUUUGGCAACAAUGAUUGCUCUGAGAAUGGGCAUCGGUCCUAAACCAGACCAAAUAGAGCCGUUCCUUGGCAUUUUUUAAAAAACAGAUGCUGGCAGCAGGAGAGAAGAGUUUCUUUAUUUUCUUGUCUUAAUGCUGAGAAAAUAUGCAAAUAUAUGACUUAGAAGUGGCUCUGGUUGUAGCCUUGGGCAGGUACAGGUGAUCUGCAAGAACGAAGCCAGCCCACAGAAAGAAGCAGAGAGAAGAUGAGAGAAAGGGAGAGCUCUUUGGCAGGGUUACAAGCCCUGGUUGCAGUUGUGCAGGAGGCUCUCUUCCUGUAGCCAGGGCUUUGGCACAAGUGUUUCCCUCUAAGAAUGCUCUCCACACCCUUCCUCACCAGUGA
rnacentral:lncRNA from 1 species